GACGAACGCUGGCGGCGUGCUUAACACAUGCAAGUCGAACGGAAAGGCCCUGCUUUUGUGGGGUGCUCGAGUGGCGAACGGGUGAGUAACACGUGAGUAACCUGCCCUGUACUUUGGGAUAACUUCAGGAAACUGGGGCUAAUACCGGAUAGGAGCUCCUGCUGCAUGGUGGGGGUUGGAAAGUUUCGGCGGUUGGGGAUGGACGCGCGGCUUAUCAGCUUGUUGGUUGGGUAGUGGCUUACCAAGGCUUUGACGGGUAGCCGGCCUGAGAGGGUGACCGGCGUCAUUGGGACUGAGAUACGGCCCAGACUCCUACGGGAGGCAGCAGUGGGGAAUAUUGCACAGUGGGCGGAAGCGUGAUGAAGCAACGCCGCGUGCGGGAUGACGGCCUUCGGGUUGUAAACCGCUUUAGCCUGUGACGAAGCGUGAGUGACGGUAAUGGGUGAAGAAGCACCGGCUAACUACGUG
rnacentral:rRNA from 1 species